ACUGCUUUAGGCACUUUCUCAAUUAUGUCAACGUUAAGUGUAUCGACUACAGGUGUGGUCAAAAUAGGUACACAAUGCACUGUUCACAACUUUUGACUUCUGUGAAAAUGGAGGAAAGAACUGCACUAUAAUCGUCUAAACAAAUCCCUAAAGAUUUAUAGCUCCAGACAAGUAAGGUUUGAUUAUGUCAGCACACUUCUCAAAAAGUCUUUCUAUCACACUAAAUGCAAUAGGAGGAACAUUUUUGUGUUUAUUGUGAAC
rnacentral:lncRNA from 1 species